UGUGUGUGUGUGUGUGUGUGUGUGUCAGUUUGCUGCAGAUGCACAGGAUAAGCAGUGGUUGGCGGAGCGACAUCACAUGAGAGCGACAGGAGGAAAGAUGGCCUACCUGCUGAUUGAAGAAGACAUCCAGGAUCUGUCCCGCAGCGACGAGUACAAGGACUGUCCUGAUGUCAGGAUGGACGAGAUGAAGCCGUUCUCGGUUCCUUCGUGGAUGAUUGACAAGAUGAAGAGAGCCAUGGAGGCGCAGCGAGACGCUGACCUCUGACCUCCUCCCCAUCAGAGAGCAAUCAUGUGAUUCACACACUCUGACCUGAUUGGCUCCUUCUAUAUUUUCAUUUAUACUGUUUUCUAACAAAAAUUAUUAAAACCGUUUGUGACCAGAA